CAUUGUUGCAUCUCCCACCCUGCAGUCUUAGAAACAUAAACAACAACUCACUCUAUAGCUGGUGAAUAACUACAUAUAAACCAUCAGGGGCAGCAGGUAGGGCUCUAGUCAAAAGUAGUGCACUCUAUAGCUGGUGAAUAACUACAUAUAAACCAUCAGGGGGGCAGCAGGUAGGACUCUAGUCAAAAGUAGUGCACUCUAUAGCUGGUGAAUAACUACAUAUAAACCAUCAGGGGCAGCAGGUAGGGCUCUAGUCAAAAGUAGUGCACUCUAUAGCUGGUGAAUAACUACAUAUAAACCAUCAGGGGCAGCAGGUAGGACUCUAGUCAAAAGUAGUGCACUCUAUAGCUGGUGAAUAACUACAUAUAAACCAUCAGGGGCAGCAGGUAGGACUCUAGUCAAAAGUAGUGCACUCUAUAGCUGGUGAAUAACUACAUAUAAACCAUCAGGGGGGCAGCAGGUAGGACUCUAGUCAAAAGUAGUGCACUCUAUAGCUGGUGAAUAACUACAUAUAAACCAUCAGGGGGGCAGCAUGUAGGACUCUAGUCAAAAGUAGUGCACUCUAUAGCUGGUGAAUAACUACAUAUAAACCAUCAGGGGCAGCAGGUAGGGCUCUAGUCAAAAGUAGUGCACUCUAUAGCUGGUGAAUAACUACAUAUAAACCAUCAGGGGCAGCAGGUAGGACUCUAGUCAAAAGUAGUGCACUCUAUAGCUGGUGAAUAACUACAUAUAAACCAUCAGGGGCAGCAGGUAGGACUCUAGUCAAAAGUAGUGCACUCUAUAGCUGGUGAAUAACUACAUAUAAACCAUCAGGGGCAGCAGGUAGGACUCUAGUCAAAAGUAGUGCACUCUAUAGCUGGUGAAUAACUACAUAUAAACCAUCAGGGGCAGCAGGUAGGGCUCUAGUCAAAAGUAGUGCACUCUAUAGCUGGUGAAUAACUACAUAUAAACCAUCAGGGGCAGCAUGUAGGGCUCUAGUCAAAAGUAGUGCACUCUAUAGCUGGUGAAUAACUACAUAUAAACCAUCAGGGGGGCAGCAGGUAGGACUCUAGUCAAAAGUAGUGCACUCUAUAGCUGGUGAAUAACUACAUACCAUCAGGGGCAGCAGUUAGGACUCUAGUCAAAAGUAGUGCACUCUAUAGCUGGUGAAUAACUACAUACAAACCAUCAGGGGCAGCAGGUAGGACUCUAGUCAAAAGUAGUGCACUCUAUAGGGAAUAUGGUGUCAUUUGGGAUGCAGAUAUAACAACACAUCAUCAUCACAGCCCUGAGAGGAUGGUGUGUAAAUAACAUCCAUCAUAAUAGUUUGGUAAUAUGGUGUGUCAGUUUUAUCGGCAGGUCGUCUUGCGGUUAAGAACGUUGGGCCAGUAACUGAAACAUUACUGGUUCAAAUCCCAGACCUGGCAAGGUGGAAACCUCUACCAUUUUGAGCAAGGCAGUUACCACCAGCUUGAAUGAUAACUCCUGUCCCCAAUCUGUGAGGAUGAACAACAAGUCACACAUACCUUUUAUAUCAUCAUUAUAUGAUAGUGUCUGUAUUCACAAAGUGUCCCAGAGUAGAAUCUAGUUUUCCCAUUUAGAUCAUAAUUAUAUGGACCAGCAGGACCUGAUCCUAGAUCAGCACUCCAUGUCUGAGACCCUUGAGUACAUGACUUACGGCUAAAAACAAAAUACUAUAUUUCAAGAUCUCAAGAGUACUUACAGACUGAAGGGGAGAGGUCUUGUUCAGUGAGUCAACUGACUGGUAGUGAGUGGGAACUGCUAGUAUAUGUGUGUUCUGUGGUUGAUACAUAUUUAUAGUAGUCAGAACACAAGUAGCUGAUGCAGAACAGUCCUUUCCUUCCUCUUUUAAGACAUUAACAUGCAUGAUAAUCAGAACAGCAUGUCAGAGAAGGGAGGUUACUGUAUUAAAAUGGGUCCUACAUUUCUAUAAUGGACAAAA